GGCACCUGCUCGGGGCCGCAGGUGAGGGGCCGGAGCGGGCCGGGGGCGGCAGCGCUGGUGCCAGCCCGGCGGGACGCGCCCCCCGGCAUCGCCGGCUCUGCCCCGCAGCUGCUGCGCGGCGCGCUGGCCCCGCCGCGGAGGGCACUCGCUGCCGCAGCUCACUCACCGGCGUGUUCGACUAACUGCGCGCAGACCACCCGGUACGCGGGCUAAUCACAAGGGCACGCGAAGUUACUGAUGCACUCCAGAGAAAACAUUGACUACAGAUUGUCUUAUUUCCUUUGUGUCUGGGAAGUACUGGAAAAACUGGUGAGAAGAGCUGAAGCACCUGAAGCAAAUGGAUGAUACCCCCCGUUAUCUUUGCGGUAACAUGUUUUUCCAGCUAUCUCAGAGUUUAGCUAAAGGACAGAGAAGACAGGAUUGGAGCUGGAUCCAGCCAAGAACCAAGGCAAAUACGCCAAGAAGCAGGAAGGAGAGAAAUUUAGGUUUGAAGCCAUACUUACCACAGACAUGCAGAGAACGUUCCAUCUCAUGCACCAAGGGGGAACUGCUCCACUGAACAACUUUUACUACAACUGCAGUUGCAGGAAGGAUUCAGGGGAAAAAGGUGAGAGAAUCUGUGGAAACGGUACUGACUUAUUUUGUAGAAAUUUUUUCUUUAUUGCUAACACUCAUUUUCAGUCUUUGUUUCUUUUUCGUCACGAUUAGAACAUCCAAACCAGCCAAGCAGCAUAUUCACUGUCUGUGCAGUGCUAACAGAUUUGCCUCCAUCUCGUUAGACCCACGUUUUAAACUUGUGUUGCUUACGACAACGCAUAUGCAGGAAUGAAGCUGUAAACUUGGAAAAAACUCUGUAAGAGCAGCAGUAUCUUACUUGAAAACAAUUUUGUGAAAGCAGAUUAAUUUGAAGCGCCCCUUACCACGGUAUUUCUCACUUAAUGUGGAGCUUAGUAUUUCUGUUCUGUUGUAUAAGCCCUUAUGUGGCAUUGUUCCUUGCCAGAUGAUCCUUUCUGCCCUCUGCAAGAUUUGUCGGUCACGACAACUGCAUUCCACUGAAGCAAUUAAAAUAUAAAUGCUUUUAAAUACACGAGACUGAACUAUAGUGAACUUAGACAAAACAGGUGGAAUCUUCCCAGCCCGGGGGAAGUUAAUGGAAAUUUUAACACUGAUGUAAAUGGAGCAAAAAUGUCACUCAAAUGAGGGCACUUUGGCAAAAAUUACAUCGAAAAGGAAUUAUUUAUAUGCAUGUGCACAUAUACUAAGCACUCCUAAGCAGCAAAGCCAACAGAAAAGCUGGAUGUCAUUUCAUUUCUUCUAUAGAAGAC